rnacentral:rRNA from 1 species
UGGGGAAUUUUGGACAAUGGGCGAAAGCCUGAUCCAGCAAUGCCGCGUGUGUGAAGAAGGCCUUCGGGUUGUAAAGCACUUUUGUCCGGAAAGAAAUCCUUGGCUCUAAUACAGUCGGGGGAUGACGGUACCGGAAGAAUAAGCACCGGCUAACUACGUGCCAGCAGCCGCGGUAAUACGUAGGGUGCAAGCGUUAAUCGGAAUUACUGGGCGUAAAGCGUGCGCAGGCGGUUUGCUAAGACCGAUGUGAAAUCCCCGGGCUCAACCUGGGAACUGCAUUGGUGACUGGCAGGCUAGAGUAUGGCAGAGGGGGGUAGAAUUCCACGUGUAGCAGUGAAAUGCGUAGAGAUGUGGAGGAAUACCGAUGGCGAAGGCAGCCCCCUGGGCCAAUACUGACGCUCAUGCACGAAAGCGCGGGGAGCAAACAGGAUUAGAUACCCUGGUAGUCCACGCCCUAAACGAUGUCAACUAGUUGUUGGGGAUUCAUUUCCUAGUAACGUAGCUAACGCGUGAAGUUGACCGCCUGGGGAGUACGGUCGCAAGACU